rnacentral:rRNA from 1 species
GAUGAACGCUGGCGGCGUGCUUAACACAUGCAAGUCGAACGAAGCACUUUAUUUGAUUUCCUUCGGGACUGAUUAUUUUGUGACUGAGUGGCGGACGGGUGAGUAACGCGUGGGUAACCUGCCUUGUACAGGGGGAUAACAGUUGGAAACGGCUGCUAAUACCGCAUAAGCGCACGGCAUCGCAUGAUGCAGUGUGAAAAACUCCGGUGGUAUAAGAUGGACCCGCGUUGGAUUAGCUAGUUGGUGAGGUAACGGCCCACCAAGGCGACGAUCCAUAGCCGACCUGAGAGGGUGACCGGCCACAUUGGGACUGAGACACGGCCCAAACUCCUACGGGAGGCUGCAGUGGGGAAUAUUGCACAAUGGGCGAAAGCCUGAUGCAGCGACGCCGCGUGAGCGAAGAAGUAUUUCGGUAUGUAAAGCUCUAUCAGCAGGGAAGAUAA